rnacentral:rRNA from 1 species
GUUAUGGAGAGUUUGAUCCUGGCUCAGGAUAAACGUUGGCGGCGUGCCUAAUGCAUGUAAGUCGCACGAGAAGCCGGACUUCGGUCCGGUGGGCAGUGGCGGACGGGUGAGUAACACGUAGGAACCUGCCCAGAAGUGUGGGACAACCCUUCGAAAGGGGGGCUAAUACCACAUACGGUCUCCGGACCAAAGCUUCGGCGCUUCUGGAGGGGCCUGCGGCGGAUUAGCUAGUUGGUGGGGUAACGGCCUACCAAGGCGACGAUCUGUAGCUGGUCUGAGAGGAUGAUCAGCCACACUGGGACUGAGACACGGCCCAGACUCCUACGGGAGGCAGCAGCAGGGAAUUUUGCACAAUCGACGCAAGUCGGAUGCAGCAACGCCGCGUGGAGGAAGAAGGCCCUAGGGUUGUAAACUCCUUUUGCGAGGGAAGAAGAUCUGACGGUACCUCGCGAAUAAGUCACGGCUAACUACGUGCCAGCAGCCGCGGUCAUACGUAGGUGGCGCACGUGGUCC